CCUGGGGAUGUCCUAGAGCCUCAGAGCUUCAAGGGAGAUAAAAAUUGCAAUAUGAAAAGAUAAUUCUUCCCGACUGUCAGAACCCAUUAGAAUUUCUACGGCCUGAUGCUCUUUAAGAACAAGAAGGACAAUUAAGAAAACAACACCACCACCUGGUUCCCAUUUAAAAAAGAAAAAUCGGACUGGAGAUUUGCAAUGCUGACCUCCUGAGACGGAAAGGAAGAUUAGCCCUGAGCUAACUGCUGCCAAAUCCUCCUCUUUUUGCUGAGGAAGACUGACCCUGAGCUAACAUCCAUGCCCAUCUUCCUCUACUUUAUAUGUGAGGUGCCUACUACAGCAUGGCUUGCCAAGCAAUGCCAUGUCUGCACCUGGGAUCCGAAACGGUGCACCCUGAGCCGCUGAAGCAGAACUUGCAAACUUAACUGCUGUGCCACUGGGCCAGCCCCGAGAUUUAUUUUAUUUAGCCUGCUUCAGAUACCCUGUGCUUCCUGAAUCUGUGGAUUAGUGUCUGUCAUUAUAUCUGGGAAAUUCUCUGGCAUCGUUUCUUUGGACAUUGCCUCUGCCAUUUGUUCAUUCUCAUGUCUUUCUGAGAUUCCAAUUAAAUGUAUGUCAGAUCUUUUCAUUCUUUAUAUUCUCCAUAUCUUUUCACUUCUUUUUCAUUUUUUUCCCUCUCUCCCACAUUCUGGAUAAUUGCUUUUGACCUAUCCUCUAGUUCCUUAAUUCUCUCUUCAGUUAUGUCUAAUCUGUGAUUAUACUCAUUUUUCAGUUUUAAAUUUU
rnacentral:lncRNA from 1 species